rnacentral:sRNA from 1 species
UAAAACUCAAACGACGUAAGCCCUACCUCUCUUACAUCCUUACGGCUCCGAAGCCGCGCCAGUGUGAAUAAGCCCUUAUAGAAAAAC